CCUACGGGUGGCUGCAGUGGGGAAUAUUGCACAAUGGGGGAAACCCUGAUGCAGCGACGCCGCGUGAGUGAAGAAGUACUUCGUUAUGUAAAGCUCUAUCAGCAGGGAAGAAAAUGGCGGUACGUGAGUAAGAAGCCCCGGCUAACUACGUGCCAGCAGCCGCGGUAAUACGAAGGGAGCAGGCGUUAUCCGGAUUUACUGUGUGUAAAGGGAGCGUAUACGGCAGUGCAAGUCUGGAGUGAAAGGCGGGGGCUCAACCCCCGGACUGCUCUGGAAACUGUACGGCUGGAGUGCAGGAGAGGUAAGUGGAAUUCCUAGUGUAGCGGUGAAAGGCGUAGAUAGUAGGAGGAACUCCAGUGGCGAAGGCGGCUUACUGGACUGCAACUGACGUUGAGGCUCGAAAGUGUGGGGAGCAAACAGAAUUAGAUACCCUAGUAGUC
rnacentral:rRNA from 1 species